GACGAACGCUGGCGGCGUGCCUAAUACAUGCAGGUAGAACGCUGAAGGAGGAGCUUGCUCUUCUGGAUGAGUUGCGAACGGGUGAGUAACGCGUAGGUAACCUGCCUGGUAGCGGGGGAUAACUAUUGGAAACGAUAGCUAAUACCGCAUAAUAGUAGAUGUUGCAUGACAUUUACUUAAAAGGUGCAAUUGCAUCACUACCAGAUGGACCUGCGUUGUAUUAGCUAGUUGGUGGGGUAACGGCUCACCAAGGCGACGAUACAUAGCCGACCUGAGAGGGUGAUCGGCCACACUGGGACUGAGACACGGCCCAGACUCCUACGGGAGGCAGCAGUAGGGAAUCUUCGGCAAUGGACGGAAGUCUGACCGAGCAACGCCGCGUGAGUGAAGAAGGUUUUCGGAUCGUAAAGCUCUGUUGUAAGAGAAGAACGAGUGUGAGAGUGGAAAGUUCACACUGUGACGGUAUCUUACCAGAAAGGGACGGCUAACUACGUGC
rnacentral:rRNA from 1 species